GACGAACGCUGGCGGCGUGCCUAAUACAUGCAAGUAGAACGCUGAAGAGAGGAGCUUGCUCUUCUUGGAUGAGUUGCGCACGGGUGAGUAACGCGUAGGUAACCUGCCUUGUAGCGGGGGAUAACUAUUGGAAACGAUAGCUAAUACCGCAUAACAAUGGAUGACACAUGUCAUUUAUUUGAAAGGGGCAAUUGCUCCACUACAAGAUGGACCUGCGUUGUAUUAGCUAGUAGGUGAGGUAAUGGCUCACCUAGGCGACGCUACAUAGCCGACCUGAGAGGGUGGUCGGCCACACUGGGACUGAGACACGGCCCAGACUCCUACGGGAGGCAGCAGUAGGGAAACUUCGGCAAGGGGGGCAACCCUGACCGAGCAACGCCGCGUGAGGGAAGAAGGUUUUCGGAUCGUAAAGCUCUGUUGUAAGUCAAGAACGGGUGUGAGAGUGGAAAGUUCACACUGUGACGGUAGCUUACCAGAAAGGGACGGCUAACUACGUG
rnacentral:rRNA from 1 species